rnacentral:rRNA from 1 species
AAACCAACAGGGAUUGCCUCAGUAGCGGCGAGUGAAGCGGCAAAAGCUCCAUUUUGAAAGCUCUUCGGAGCGUUGUAGAUUGGUGGGAAGCUAACGGCUGGUGGGAGACCAAGUCCUCUGGAACGAGGCGCCAUAGAGGGUGAGAGCCCCGUGUGUCUCCUUUACCGACCUUUCAGCCCCCUCCGCGGAGUCGAGUUGUUUGGGAAUGCAGCUCUAAGUGGGUGGUAAAUUCCAUCUAAGGCUAAAUAUUGGCGAGAGACCGAUAGCGAACAAGUACAGUGAUGGAAAGAUGAAAAGCACUUUGAAAAGAGAGUGAAACAGUACGUGAAAUUGUUGAAAGGGAAGGGUAUUUGGCCCGACAUGGGUCCUAUGCACCGUUGCCUCUCGUGGGCGGCGCUCUGCUUGGGCCUGGGCCAGCGUCAGUUUGGAGGGGGCGAGAAGGGUUUUGGGGAGUUGCCUAGCAAUUCCCCUUUGCUAGAUUGCCCCACACCGGACUGAGGACCGCCAUCUGUAGAUGCGCC